rnacentral:ribozyme from 1 species
GUUUUCUUCGUUUUAUUUUCUUCAUUGUAUUUCUUUUGGUUUUUGCCUUCAUUCUGUCUCCAAGUUCGUGGGUCCUUGAGAGUGCAAUACAAAAAA